CUUUACUGUAACUUGAAAUUGAAAUUGGACUUUAUUUGCGCAGUAUAGGUGGAAGGCGUUGAGAUUACUCUUGCGGGAUUAGUGGAGCCAUCAGUGAGAUACCACUCCUAUAAUGUUAGAUUUCUAACUUUGGAUCAUAAUCUGGUCAAAGAACAGUUUCAGGCGGGCAGUUUGACUGGGGCGGUCGCCUCCCAAAUGGUAACGGAGGCGUACAAAGGUUUCCUCUGAACGGGUAGAAAUCGUAUCUAGAGUGUAAAGGCAUAAGGAAGCUUGACUGUGAGACCUACAAGUCGAGCAGGGACGAAAGUCGGUCUUAGUGAUCUGACGGUGCUGAGUGGAAAGGCCGUCACUCAACGGAUAAAAGUUA
rnacentral:rRNA from 1 species